rnacentral:lncRNA from 1 species
UGGUGUUGUAGGGAGGAGUUUAUGAAGAAUGAAUGGAUUUUAUUUGGAACUUUUGAGAAGCAUGUCAAAGCAGGUACUUAAUUCAUUUCCAUUUAUUCAUCCUGCUUCUACCUUUUACUUAUGUUACUAUAUUCUUAUUGUUUUAACAAGUCAGGUGUCAGUUUGAAUCUUGGGAUCGUAGAUAAUCACUACUAAUUGUUAAUGUUUAUGCAAAUUGAUUUGUUUUUCUUUUUACUAGUAAUUCUUUUUCACAUAUAUAGAUAGGGGUGAACAUUUUGUUCUUCAAUUUUUGAUUUUUCAAUAGUAUGUAUCGAAUAUCGAACCAAACUAGUUCAGUUGGAUUCGAUUUAAUUCAGUUUUUAAAAUUCGGUUCUGCAAUUUUUUAUGAAUAUUAUUAACAGUAACAAGGAUAUUCAACUUGUGUGCAAUCCAUGCUAAGAGAGUCACCAAUCACCAUGGAGAACGAGCUUAAUUAAGUUGGUCACAAUAUUGAUUAAUGAUCAGUCUCUUUUUUUGGUUUUAGCCUUUAGGUACUGAACUAGUCGAUGGUUAUCUCAAGGACAGUAUGAUUUUAAUUAGCCUUUAUGAAAUUCUAAAUGAAGUGAUAAUUAAUAAACAUGAAAUUUACAUAAAUUUCAUUAGUGUUAGAGCUAAUUACUUAGGUACACUCUAAUUUGUAAUAUUACAUAUCAUAUCAAAUUUUGGUGCGUUCAGAUGCAUUUAGAUAUGUUCAGAUACAUGUAUCUCAAGAUAUAUGAGGUCAAAAUUAAGUAUAAUUUGUUCUAGAUACACUGUAUCCAAGUGGAAUCGCAUGUAUCUUGGAUAAAUAACAAAUCUCGCUUGCCACUCUCCUAUAUAUCUGAUGUGAUUCACAUGUAUUUGAGAUACAUGACAAAUCUUGCUCGCUUCCUCCCUAUUUUAGUGUAUCUGGUAGCAAAAAUACAUGUAUCGAGGUGUAUCUUUCUCAAUAUAGAAUAGAAAACUCUUAAUUAGUAAUAAAAUAUGUAAUAUUUUGAAAGCAUAAGUAAUAAUUGUAUCUAUGGUAAUGAAGUAGGUAUAAUUACUAAGUUUCUCCUUAAUAAAUAGAAUUAACUUACUACUCUAAUCAAGUAAGUAGUAUAAGUAUUAACUAAUCCAGAAAAUCGUACUGGGGCAUCAGGGCAAUAUCAUUGACAGUCCAAGACAUUUGUUGCAAAUUUUGGUUGAUAAGAUGGUCAUGCAUUAGUCGUCAUUGCUGAUUAUGAUAAAGAAAAAAAGUUAUAAUAUAUCGGUUCUUGGGUGCACCGAAGUACCAGACCCUAAAACCGAGAAUCAAACCGAAGAAUCGAAUUAAUUCAGUCCAAUUUUUUGGUUUUUCGAUAUUUAUGCCUAAUAUAGAUAUUUAUGCUCUAACAAUAUAACAAAAGAACAAUUUUUAGCAGCAAUAAAUAGUCACAUUAACAAAGAAUGUUAAAACCUUUAAGAUAACGAGUACUAUGAUUCCAAAUGCUCUGGCCGAUUCAAUAGAUUAGUAUUGUCUGAUGUAUACGAGACACAAAUGUAGGGUAUUUUUUCUGUUUCACUAUGUUAAGUUUUGUGUAUUUUAUGCUCGGAUUGAUAUAUAUAUAUAUAGCACAACAUAACAUGAGCUUUAGUGCAGCAGACUGUCCUUUUAAUUUUUAUACCACAGCAUAACACUCUUUUUUGAAACAGGAUGCUUUGUUCCCAGGAGAAAUCUCGAGGAAUGGAAAGGUUCAAUGCUCAAAUCUAACCUCUGGAUGUGACAUAUAGGAACUAAUUCAUUUUGGAAGGCAAGUCAAGUUGUGGCUAUUGUGAGUUCAUUAAUAGUACAAUUAGUUUAGUUAGAUACCAAUAUUUUGCUUUAAUUAAUGUAUAGUUGAGAUCCACCUUCCAAAACUAGCCCUUUGUUGGGCUUCUGGUUAAUUAGAUUUGUGGCCUUCUUCUUCAUCAUGUUCAUUUGAUGGACAUGAAUGAAGAAAUAUAUGUUUGUAUCUUAAUGAUGUCGAUUGACGAAAAUGGGUGAUUUUUUUAAUGAAUAUAUAAGUUCGACUCUUUUGUUGAAGUGUGUGACCA